rnacentral:rRNA from 1 species
UAUCCUGGCUCAGGAUGAACGCUGGCGGCGUGCCUAAUACAUGCAAGUCGAGCGAACAGAUAAGGAGCUUGCUCCUUUGACGUUAGCGGCGGACGGGUGAGUAACACGUGGGUAACCUACCUAUAAGACUGGAAUAACUCCGGGAAACCGGGGCUAAUGCCGGAUAACAUGUUGAACCGCAUGGUUCUACAAUGAAAGGCGGCUUUGCUGUCACUUAUAGAUGGACCCGCGCCGUAUUAGCUAGUUGGUGAGGUAACGGCUCACCAAGGCAACGAUACGUAGCCGACCUGAGAGGGUGAUCGGCCACACUGGAACUGAGACACGGUCCAGACUCCUACGGGAGGCAGCAGUAGGGAAUCUUCCGCAAUGGGCGAAAGCCUGACGGAGCAACGCCGCGUGAGUGAUGAAGGUCUUCGGAUCGUAAAACUCUGUUAUUAGGGAAGAACAAAUGCGUAAGUAACUGUGCGCGUCUUGACGGUACCUAAUCAGAAAGCCACGGCUAACUACGUG